CAACGCCCAAAACAUUUAGGUGAUAACCAGAAACAUCCAACAAGGGUUUAAAAGAACCUAAUGAUUGGCUGCUCUGUAGACAAAGGUUGUGCACCAUGGGUUGGUUAGUGGAUGACUAGGAGACUAAGAAGGUUGCUCAUGGUUGGUUAAUGGAUGACUAGGAGACUAAGAAGGUUGCUCAUGGUUGGUUAGUGGAUGACUAGGAGACUAAGAAGGUUGCUCAUGGUUGGUUAAUGGAUGACUAGGAGACUAAGAAGGUUGCUCAUGGUUGGUUAGUGGAUGACUAGAAGAGGGUUGCUCAUGGUUGGUUAGUGGAUGACUAGGAGAGGGUGGCCCACUCACCGGGGUUCCCCUGGGUCCAUGGC
ensembl:lncRNA